CCUGAAACCGUGUACGUACAAGCAGUGGGAGCACCCUUCGGGGUGUGACUGCGUACCUUUUGUAUAAUGGGUCAGCGACUUAUAUUCUGUAGCAAGGUUAACCGUAUAGGGGAGCCGGAGGGAAACCGAGUCUUAACCGGGCGUUAAGUUGCAGGGUAUAGACCCGAAACCCGGUGAUCUAGCCAUGGGCAGGUUGAAGGUUGGGUAACACUAACUGGAGGACCGAACCGACUAAUGUUGAAAAAUUAGCGGAUGACCUGUGGCUGGGGGUGAAAGGCCAAUCAAACCGGGAGAUAGCUGGUUCUCCCCGAAAGCUAUUUAGGUAGCGCCUCGUGAAUUCAUCUCCGGGGGUAGAGCACUGUUUCGGCUAGGGGGCCAUCCCGGCUUACCAACCCGAUGCAAACUGCGAAUACCGGAGAAUGUUAUCACGGGAGACACACGGCGGGUGCUAACGUCCGUCGUGAAGAGGGAAACAACCCAGACCGCCAGCUAAGGUCCCAAAGUCAUGGUUAAGUGGGAAACGAUGUGGGAAGGCCCAGACAGCCAGGAUGUUGGCUUAGAAGCAGCCAUCAUUUAAAGAAAGCGUAAUAGCUCACUGGUCGAGUCGGCCUGCGCGGAAGAUGUAACGGGGCUAAACCAUGCACCGAAGCUGCGGCAGCGAACGUAUCACCCAAGACAACUUUACGGAGUUGACGAUUGACGGAGCGAAGCGACGUCAAAGCGUUCAUUAAAGUCGAGUUGGCUUAGGGAUACGUUCGUUGGGUAGGGGAGCGUUCUGUAAGCCUGUGAAGGUGUGUCGUGAGGCAUGCUGGAGGUAUCAGAAGUGCGAAUGCUGACAUAAGUAACGAUAAAGCGGGUGAAAAGCCCGCUCGCCGGAAGACCAAGGGUUCCUGUCCAACGUUAAUCGGGGCAGGGUGAGUCGACCCCUAAGGCGAGGCCGAAAGGCGUAGUCGAUGGGAAACGGGUUAAUAUUCCCGUACUUGGUGUUACUGCGAAGGGGGGACGGAGAAGGCUAUGUUGGCCGGGCGACGGUUGUCCCGGUUUAAGCGUGUAGGUGUGUGUUCCAGGUAAAUCCGGUU
rnacentral:rRNA from 1 species